GAAGAUAGUACAAACCCCAAUUUUUGGGAGGAGCUUUCAUGUGGGGUAUACAGUUUGUCAAUGAGUUCUUCAAAACUGUAUGGAUGUCUUUUUGGUGAAGUCAAGAAACAUGAAUGGGCUAAUGCCAGGCUGAUAGACCUGAUUAAAUGGGAGAGAGUUUCUGUUGAACCUAAACCAGAAGACAUAUAUUUUUCAUGUGGGCCUAAUGAAAGCUCUGUUUCAUUGCCAGCUCAGAAUGUGUUAAGUUCUUUAAGGAGAUCUGUGAUGCUACGCACGUCACUGCAUAAAAUUU
rnacentral:misc_RNA from 1 species